UCCGGGAAACCGGGGCUAAUACCGAAUAAUCAAUUCCUUCGCAUGAAGGAAUUCUGAAAGACGGUUUCGGCUGUCACUGCAGGAUGGGCCCGCGGCGCAUUAGCUAGUUGGUGGGGUAAUGGCCUACCAAGGCAACGAUGCGUAGCCGACCUGAGAGGGUGAUCGGCCACACUGGGACUGAGACACGGCCCAGACUCCUACGGGAGGCAGCAGUAGGGAAUCUUCCACAAUGGACGAAAGUCUGAUGGAGCAAUGCCGCGUGAGUGAAGAAGGUUUUCGGAUCGUAAAGCUCUGUUGCGAGGGAAGAACACGUACGGGAGUAACUGCCCGUACCUUGACGGUACCUCGUCAGAAAGCCACGGCUAACUACGUGCCAGCAGCCGCGGUAAUACGUAGGUGGCAAGCGUUGUCCGGAAUUAUUGGGCGUAAAGCGCGCGCAGGCGGUCCUUUAAGUCUGAUGUGAAAGCCCACGGCUCAACCGUGGAGGGUCAUUGAAAACUGGGGG
rnacentral:rRNA from 1 species